rnacentral:rRNA from 1 species
CCUACGGGAGGCAGCAGUGGGGAAUAUUGCACAAUGGGCGAAAGCCUGAUGCAGCAACGCCGCGUGAGCGGUGAAGGUCUUCGGAUCGUAAAGCUCUGUCCUCAAGGAAGAAUUUUGACGAUACUUGAGGAGGAAGCCCCGGCUAACUACGUGCCAGCAGCCGCGGUAAUACGUAGGGGGCUAGCGUUAUCCGGAAUUACUGGGCGUAAAGGGUGCGUAGGCGGCCUUGCAAGUCAGAGGUGAAAGGCUACGGCUCAACCGUAGUAAGCCUUUGAAACUGUAAGGCUUGAGUGAGGGAGAGGGGGUUGAAUUUCCCAGGUAGGGGUGGAAAGGCGUGGUAUUGGGGGGAAACACCGUUGGGGAGGCCGGUUCUUGGGAUGUAACUGACGCUGAGGCACGAAAGCGUGGGGAGCGAACAGGAUUAGAUACCCUGGUAGUC